rnacentral:rRNA from 1 species
UACAGAGGGGGCAAGCGUUGUUCGGAAUUACUGGGCGUAAAGGCGCGUAGGCGGCCUGCUAAGUCGAACGUGAAAUCCCUGGGCUCAACCCAGGAACUGCGUCCGAUACUGGUUGGCUUGAAUCCGGGAGAGGGACGUGGAAUUCCAGGUGUAGCGGUGAAAUGCGUAGAUAUCUGGAGGAACACCGGUGGCGAAGGCGACGUCCUGGACCGGCAUUGACGCUGAGGCGCGAAAGCCAGGGGAGCCAAAGCGGG